AACUUGCAAAGCCCAAAGAGGAAGCACACAGGAAGCUUCCCAACCGCGUAAAUAGGAGAAUCCUGCCUUCCAUUUACGCGAUUACUGCAUCUUUAAAUACGAUAAUCAUGUCGUGAGUGCGAAGCAGGAAAUCAAGGACGCGUUCCCCACACAGCCAUCCAAACCAAAGAUGCGUUUCCGAUAAAGCCAUGAGAUUUUAAAGAGGAAGCGUCCGACAACAAUGGAGAUAAACGCUAGGAUGAGACGGUUGAGAGCAGAGAUGGCGGAGAUAAGUAACGAACAAAAAUCAAUUAGAGAGGCACAAAAUCAAAUACGAGAAAAAUGUGAAGCCAAUAAAUUGAAACUUGAACAAAUCCAGAUGGAAGCAAAGUGCUUAAGACAGGGGUUUCACGACAAUCUAAACCGCCUCACGCUCAUGUUUCAAAUCAUACAAGCAAGAGAGAACCAUGAUUUUGCCACACAAGAGGGCCUCACUCAGAAUCUCCGUAAGUUGAUGGCCAAAACCAAAGAAGAAAGUUAGUAUAGCUGCAAAAUGUUGAGGCUAUAUGGUGAGUGCCAAACCAUGGGAGGAAAUGAAAGUUUGAAAACCUCCAUAGAUCAUUGUUAUCAAGGUCACUCGCUUUAUCACUCCACUAUAAGUUAUCUUUAAUGAAUUUUGUAUAUUAAUUUUUAUCAAGUUACAUAUUUAUCUUGUAUCUAUUAUGUAUUUCAAUUUAAGUUUUUAUUUAUCUUGUUCAACAUAUCAAUUUACACUUCGUAUUAUAAAUAUCAUUCAAUACAUCUUCCUUUCAAUUCUAUUCUAUUCUUAUGAAAACUGUUUUAUAGACCAGCUUGCAAUGAGUUCAGCAACUUACCAGCUUGCAAUGAGAGCUGCAACUUUUAAAAUAGAUAAACUUAUAUAAUAGAUCUUUGUACUUAGUUAAAUAAUAGAAUUAGUGGGGGUUUGGAUUCUACCACAAAUUUAGUGCGAUGCAAUUGA